GCUAGAAAGUGAUUGUGAUUACCGUCCGCGGGAGCGCGCGUAGUUGCUUAAAGCUGUAGCGUCCAGAUUACUUAUGUAGUCAGCUACUUCUAGCAGAGUGAAGCUGACCCCCCACCCACUUGAAACGUAAAGGCAAAUAGGCGGAGCGGUUAGUGCUACGUUUGUGCUGAUUUGUGCAGGUAAAAUUAGCGUUUGUGCUGCUACGGUUUCCGAGAUAUUAAAAGUUAUAUUUUUUGCUGAUGACGUCACCAUCCCCCCAGACUGCUCCAAAACAAACCAAAAUGGUCUACUUUUUUAGUGCUACGUUUGUGCUGAUUUGUGCAGGUAAAAUUAGCGUUUGUGCUGCUACGGUUUCCGAGAUAUAAUGAUUUUAAUUAUUACGGCCUACGCUGUAUAACACCAGUGUCUGUGGCAGUGAGUUUCAGCAGCUGUGGAAUUUUGCACUUUUAUAGAAGACUGUUCACUUUUUCUAGGCUUGCUGCAUAUUAACUUUAAUUAGUUUACACUUUAGUAACACAAUUUAUUCAGCGGAAAGGUCGAUAUUUCUUUUGUUACCAGUGCAGAAACGUACACAAGGUAGGCUAAAGUUUUCUGUGGCAAAACUGAGUUUCAUUUGAAGUGAUUCACGUAUACCUAAAUUAUUAUUAUUUUUACAUAUCCAGUUGGCCUCUAUGAUUUUGUUUUGAAUUAUAUAUGUUCAUUAUUAUUAAUGUAGCUCUCUCAGAAAAAAUGAAGUGUUUGCUUUGAUAGGUUGUUUCCUACGUGUAGAAAACUGAAUAUUCCACAGCACCUAGGCCAGGGAUGUUCAACCUGCGGCUCUAAAGCCACAUGUGGCUCUCCGGCCCCUCCACUGUGACCAAGUAAGUUAUGUUUUAUUAUAAAGACAACAAGAAAGGGUUCUGUUUUAAUGAAAUAUCUGCAUUGACUAUUCACUGAAUGUACAAGGGUCUUAAAAGUGGUUUAAUGUUUCUUAGCUUCAAAUCUGUUUACUGUAAUUUUCAAGUUGGUUGCCCAUCUUUCCUAAUUUUCAAUUAUCAUGGAAAGGACUCAUGUAGCUGGCUUCAUUUUAACAAAUACUUUUUUCCGUUAUAAAGCUUUGAUGAUUCAUUUUCUUAUCAAAUCUAAAAAUUAACAUUUUUAUUUACAUUUCCAUAGCUUACACGAUACAACAACUCAUUUUCUAGAUAUUUAUAAGCUUUCUUUUUUAGGCUCUAGACAGGUUUUGUAGCAGCAGGGGAAAAGGGGCCCUUUGAACUGAAAAGGAUGCUGACCCCUGACUUAAGCCACCAGGUCAAGACACAACAAAUACAGAAAAAUUAUUGACAGAAAAAUGGAACGGUUACUUUCAAGGCUACGGGUGCAGGUGAAUGGGUGUGUAAAAGCAAAUAUGCAUCAGACUGACAAAGAAAAGAGUGUUAAACGAUUUUUAAUUUAGAACUUUAACUUUAUGUGCAAAACUGAACUUACUGAUAACACACACUAGUCAUUCGAACACAUGUAACUGUAAUGAACCAAAUAAAACAGAAACAUGCAGGCAGCACUCAUUAUACCGUGUAUAACGCAGCAUGGGGUUGUAUUUUUUUCUUUUCAGAUGCUCCUGUCACUCCAUUUCCCAGGUCAUCAUAGCACUCCCACACACACGGAGCUCUCCUGCAGUAUGCAGUGUAAUGGCCCAAACCAUCAGUGGUCAUCUUUCCGUGGAAAGCAAUUAAUGCCCUCAAAGUGAACGACUUUCCUUGGAGAACCAGGUUGGAGGGAAAUUCGUUCAGUGGAAAUUCUGUUUGGUUUGCAAAGAUGGAUUGGAGAGUGGCCUGAGGCAGGUAGACUCAGGUAGGCCAAGUCCUGCUUCCACAGCAGUGCCAAGAUGAGCCAUACCAGACUCUUUGAGGACAGAGAUGGCAGGAGAAACAAAUGGCACUUCCCUUGUCAUCCCUUUGCUGAGGUAGCAGUGCUGUGAAGAGCAGUGUUUGGUUUGUUGGGUCACACCAUCUGUGGCAAUGGCUUUCACCAGCUGCAGGACUGGGUUUUCACUGUCUUUCAGAACAGCAUUUUGAAAUGUUGAGCUGUCACAGAAGGCACAACAUAAGCACUGAAAAAAUGCAUCAAAAGCACAGUUUCAUCUGCAUGGAGCCAUUCGGUACAUGAAGAGAGGUAGGAAGUUCUCUUCCUUUUUUUGGGUGGAACAGCUAGGCCCCUCCCGUUCUCAACUGGAUCCCCAUCAGCCGGAAGAAUGUUUGUGGCAGCAUCAGAUCCCACAAACGGAACAAAUCCGCAUAUUUCCCUCGAUGAAGGAAAGAUGACGAGCAAUGAAGCGAUCGACUCGAACAGGCAAGU